GAUGAACGCUGGCGGCGUGCCUAAUACAUGCAAGUCGAGCGAACAGACGAGGAUCUUGCUCCUCUGCCGUUAGCGGCGGACGGGUGAGUAACACGUGGAUAACCUACCUAUAAGACUGGGAUAACGUCGGGAAACCGGAUAUCAUACCGGAUAAUAUAUUGAACCGCAUGGUUCAAUGGUGAAAGACGGAUUUGCUGUCCCUUAUAGAUGGAUCCGCGCCGCAUUAGCUAGUUGGUAAGGUAACGGCUUACCAAGGCGACGAUGCGUAGCCGACCUGAGAGGGUGAUCGGCCACACUGGAACUGAGACACGGUCCAGACUCCUACGGGAGGCAGCAGUAGGGAAUCUUGCGCAAUGGGCGAAAGCCUGACGGAGCAACGCCGCGUGAGUGAUGAAGGUCUUCGGAUCGUAAAGCUCUGUUAUUAGGGAAGAACAAAUGUGUAAGUAACUAUGCACGUCUUGACGGUACCUAAUCAGAAAGCCACGGCUAACUACGUG
rnacentral:rRNA from 1 species